UCUUUUAAAUCUUAAAUUGUAGUUUAUUUGAAUUAUUGUAACUUCAAACAGAGUUAUCACAGCACCUUUCUGAUUCUUGAUUCCUGUGCAUUUGCUGCAGAGCUUUUGUGGUGGAGCAGGACCUGCAAGGAAAGGAUCUGAAAUGUCCUCAGACUGGUGUGAGUAGUGAGGAUGGAGAAGUCCACAGCAGCAUCCUGGAAAUGGUCCAGUGCCAUGGAUGAGACGCUCCAUCACUCCACCUGCCCUUACUGCCUCAUCAGGACCAGAUGUUGCUGUGGUCUCUUCAUCCUCAGUGACCCCAGAGCCAGUGAGAACAUCUAGAGAAAGACCAAACGACAUUGAGGAU